AAUCAACGCUGGCGGCGUGCCUCAGACAUGCAAGUCGAACGCGAAAUUUCCCUUCGGGGAGAAAGUAGAGUGGCGCACGGGUGAGUAACACGUAGGUAAUUUGCCUUUGGGUGGGGAAUAACUCAGGGAAACUUGAGCUAAUACCGCAUAAUGCAGCGGCUCGACAUCGAGACAGUUGUUAAAGCGGGGGAUUGGAGCAAUCCGACCUCGCGCCUAAAGAGAAGCCUGCGGCAGAUUAGCUAGUUGGUAAGGUAAUGGCUUACCAAGGCGACGAUCUGUAACCGGCCUGAGAGGGCGGUCGGUCACACUGACACUGACAUACGGGUCAGACUCCUACGGGAGGCAGCAGUCGGGAAUUUUGGGCAAUGGGCGCAAGCCUGACCCAGCAACGCCGCGUGAAGGAUGAAAUUUUCGGAAUGUAAACUUCGCAAGAACA
rnacentral:rRNA from 1 species